GCUUCCCGCGAGCACAUGUGCUCCGCAGUGACAUAUUUACCGUGUUGAUAGAUAUUGUGUGCGUUUAUUGUGUGCUUAUCGUACUUGACAUUCGUCGACUGGAUAUUUUGCGCGUUUCGGAACGUCCUCCCGCAAGUGGGGGAUGAUGCAUCGUCGUUCGUCGCCACUCGGAACAGCCUCAUCGGACGCGCAGCUUUGUCUCCGCGCUCAUAAGUGCUUCUUGCUUCGUUUAUCGAUUACUCACGUUAAUCGCGUGAUUCAAUAUCGAGUGUACCUCCAAAGACAAUCCACUUCCCAGUGUUGUGACAAGCGGCGACCGCGGUUGUACGGGAGCGGAAGCGUGAGCCUUUUGACGAGCGACUGUGAAGAAUGCAAAGCCAGUGCCAAACUUCGGAACCGAUAGCCCGGGCGGCGUGUUGGCACAGCGAGGAUAAUGAACGAGAGACCCGAUAGACAGCGAUGACAGCUGUUCACGGCACCGACACAGAGGACAGAUUGCAGUGCAAGAUAGGAGCGGUCUUCCUGCAAGCCCAGACAAGCCAUAUUGAGUGGUUUCAAAUACAGCAACUGUACCACCACGACAGUGCAGCACAAGAGACCCUAUCGUCAGAGCUGAGUCAGAAAUUAAAUAGAAAAGCGCUUUCUUCUGAAAUCUUUCGCCUGGUCUUAUUUCGUUUGUUUGUGAUUGCAAAAGAGCUCUUUCGUAGGAAAUACAAAAUUUAACUAGCCCCAUUUAUUGUCCUAUAGAAACUAAAUAGGUUGACAAUUUAGCGCUCGUUUACAAAUGCAUGUAUCAUAGACCUGCAAGAUUAUUGACUGGCUUUGAAAGACUGUUACGUGUAAAGAACAAUGGUGAUCUAGUCAUUGCUCGAAAUGGUCUGCUGGCGUUUAUGUGACAAUCGUCUAAAGCAUACACACUUUUGUAUUGUUAACCACAAAAAUAUUUAUUGACCUGUGUGCAGCAAACAUGCUGUUGCUGGCAUAAGGCCAAGGUCUGCAAUAUGGUGUUUAAUGUCAACCUAAUGCAUAUGUUCAAUUGCGUUUCACUAGACAACGGCCAUUAGAAACUCACGCAUUAGGACUCCAUAGACUAACGCUAGACAAUGGUCAUCGGAAACUCUAACGUCAUGACUCUAUAGACUAACGGUGGCCAAUUACUAUUAGACUCGCAUUAGGUGUGCAUUAGAAAGCGCAUUAGACUGGCAUUAGACAGUAUAAUGAUUCUUAUGUCUAAAGACAUUAGUCUGUCUAUUAAUACACAUUAAAUUUUUUCAU